rnacentral:rRNA from 1 species
CCUACGGGUGGCUGCAGUGGGGAAUAUUGGACAAUGGGCGAAAGCCUGAUCCAGCCAUGCCGCGUGUGUGAAGAAGGCCUUCGGGUUGUAAAGCACUUUCAUUGGGGAAGAAAGCCUUGGGGCUAAUACCCUCGAGGAAGGACAUCACCCACAGAAGAAGCACCGGCUAACUCCGUGCCAGCAGCCGCGGUAAUACGGAGGGUGCGAGCGUUAAUCGGAAUUACUGGGCGUAAAGCGCGCGUAGGCGGUCUGGUAAGCCGGUUGUGAAAGCCCCGGGCUCAACCUGGGAACGGCAUCCGGAACUGUCAGGCUAGAGUGCAGGAGAGGAAGGUAGAAUUCCCGGUGUAGCGGUGAAAUGCGUAGAGAUCGGGAGGAAUACCAGUGGCGAAGGCGGCCUUCUGGACUGACACUGACGCUGAGGUGCGAAAGCGUGGGUAGCAAACAGGAUUAGAUACCCGGGUAGUC